rnacentral:rRNA from 1 species
AGAGUAAAAUAGUACGUGAAAUUGUUGAAAGGGAAACGAUUGAAGUCAGUCGUACCGACGGAAAAUCAACUCUUCGAGUGUGGACUUUGUGGACGUGCGUGAGUUUUACGACCUCGCUGUUUGUAACGUUUGUGCUUUUUGGGUGUACUUUUUCGUAUGGUAGGCCAACAUCAGUUUUGAUUGCUAUAAAAUGACCGGAGGAAUGUAGCUUCGAUCUCGUAUUGAAGUGUUAUAGCCUUUGGUAGAUGUGGUGAUCGAGACUGAGGAUUGCAACGAAUAUCCUUUGGGCUAUCCGUCUGAUCUCUGAAAGUCGCUUAGGUGCCGAAAGCUUGCUUACGGUCAUUUAAGUUUGACGGUCAAAAGGUUAGAACGUGAUUACAUUCGUUAAGGAUGCUGACGAAAUGGUCCCAAACGACC